GACGAACGCUGGCGGCGUGCUUAACACAUGCAAGUCGAACGGUAAGGCCUUUCGGGGUACACGAGUGGCGAACGGGUGAGUAACACGUGGGUGAUCUGCCCUGCACUUCGGGAUAAGCCCGGGAAACUGGGUCUAAUACCGGAUAGGACUGCGCGGUGCAUGCCGUGUGGUGGAAAGAUUUAUCGGUGCAGGAUGGGCCCGCGGCCUAUCAGCUUGUUGGUGGGGUAAUGGCCUACCAAGGCGACGACGGGUAGCCGGCCUGAGAGGGCGACCGGCCACACUGGGACUGAGACACGGCCCAGACUCCUACGGGAGGCAGCAGUGGGGAAUAUUGCACAAUGGGCGCAAGCCUGAUGCAGCGACGCCGCGUGAGGGACGACGGCCUUCGGGUUGUAAACCUCUUUCAGCAGGGACGAAGCGUGAGUGACGGUACCUGCAGAAGAAGCACCGGCCAACUACGUG
rnacentral:rRNA from 1 species